rnacentral:lncRNA from 12 species
CCUAACCCUUAAGGGGAAAUGGGUAGGAAUGGAUUCUAAAACUCAAAACCCUGUGUGGAAAUUGUUAUGGCAGUCAGCAGUCAAGCUCGUCCAGCGCACACGAUCUGGGUGGCCCCGGGAGGUAAGGGGUAAACCUGAAACAACCUCUCUUGCUCCUGCCUGAUUUCCUGCCAGCACCUCCCACAGGACAACACAACUAGAGUCAGCUCCUAGAACUGACCCUGUAAAUCAGAAGAGAUCAGUAGAGAUCCUGCACAAGCGUGAAGGCCAGUUUCUGGUUGAGAAACGAUUCGUCAUCUCUGCUUCCACAUCUGAUGCUGCCCAUGCUUUCCCAUCCAGGGAAAAGUACCCCCUAUUCCAAGUUCAGCGAGAACCCGAGCUCUGCAAGUGGCCCUGUCUGCAGUAGUCGAAAUGGUGGCCUUCAGAAGCUGAGAGCGACAUUUUCAAGACAGAUUCUUCAGAUUAUGAGGAAGAAAAAUGUGCUCCAAUGAGAGGACCCACUUCCUGUGACCCAAAUAAAUGUCCCCGAGGUAAAUUAGCCA